rnacentral:rRNA from 1 species
UACGUAGGGGGCAAGCGUUGUCCGGAUUAUUGGGCGUAAAGAGCGUGUAGGCGGCCUUACAGGUCAGCUGUGAAAACUCGAGGCUCAACCUCGAGACGUCGGUUGAAACCGUAAGGCUAGAGUCCGGAAGAGGAGAGUGGAAUUCCCGGUGUAGCGGUGAAAUGCGCAGAUAUCGGGAAGAACACCCGUGGCGAAGGCGGCUCACUGGCUCGUAGUCUGACGCUCAGGCGGCGAACAGCGUGGGGAUCCAAACAGG